AGAGUUUGAUCMUGGCUCAGAUUGAACGCUGGCGGCAGGCCUAACACAUGCAAGUCGAGCGGUAGAGAGAAGCUUGCUUCUCUUGAGAGCGGCGGACGGGUGAGUAAUGCCUAGGAAUCUGCCUGGUAGUGGGGGAUAACGCUCGGAAACGGACGCUAAUACCGCAUACGUCCUACGGGAGAAAGCAGGGGACCUUCGGGCCUUGCGCUAUCAGAUGAGCCUAGGUCGGAUUAGCUAGUUGGUGAGGUAAUGGCUCACCAAGGCGACGAUCCGUAACUGGUCUGAGAGGAUGAUCAGUCACACUGGAACUGAGACACGGUCCAGACUCCUACGGGAGGCAGCAGUGGGGAAUAUUGGACAAUGGGCGAAAGCCUGAUCCAGCCAUGCCGCGUGUGUGAAGAAGGUCUUCGGAUUGUAAAGCACUUUAAGUUGGGAGGAAGGGCAUUAACCUAAUACGUUGGUGUCUUGACGUUACCGACAGAAUAAGCACCGGCUAACUCUGUGCCAGCAGCCGCGGUAAUA
rnacentral:rRNA from 1 species